rnacentral:rRNA from 1 species
AGCAGCCGCGGUAAUUCCAGCUCCAAUAGCGUAUAUUAAAGUUGUUGCAGUUAAAAAGCUCGUAGUUGAAUUUCGGGGUUAGCAGGUUGGUCGUGCCACUGGUAUGUACUGGCCUUGCUGAUUCCUCCCUCUUGAUGAGCCGUAAUGCCAUUAAUUUGGUGUUGCGAGGAAUCAGGACUGUUACUUUGAAAAAAU